rnacentral:rRNA from 1 species
AUUGAACGCUGGCGGCAUGCCUAACACGUGCAAGUCGAACGGGGCAGCAAUGCCUAGUGGCGGACGGGUGAGGAAUACGUAGGAAUCUGCCCUUAAGUGGGGGAUAACCAGGGGAAACCCUGACUAAUACCGCAUGAUCUCUUCGGAGCAAAGAGGGGGUCCGCAAGGCCUCUCGCUUCUGGAUGAGCCUACGUCUGGAUUAGCUAGUUGGUAGGGUAAAGGCCUACCAAGGCAACGAUCAGUAACUGGUCUGAGAGGAUGAUCAGUCACACCGGAACUGAGACACGGUCCGGACUCCUACGGGAGGCAGCAGUGGUGAAUAUUGGACAAUGGGCGCAAGCCUGAUCCAGCAACGCCGCGUGUGUGAAGAAGGCCUUCGGGUUGUAAAGCACUUUAGCCUGGAAAGAAAAAACUUUGGUUAACACCCAAAGUCUUGACGGUACCAGGAGAAUAAGCACCGGCUAACUCUGUGCCAGCAGCCGCCGUAACAC